ACAUGCAAGUCGAAUGGUAACAGGAAACAGCUUGCUGUUUCGCUGACGAGUGGCGGACGGSUGAGUAAUCUCUGGAAAACUGCCUGAUGGAGGGGGAUAACUACUGGAAACGGUAGCUAAUACCGCAUAACGUCGCAAGACCAAAGAGGGGGACCUUCGGGCCUCUUGCCAUCAGAUGCGCCCAGAUGGGAUUAGCUAGUAGGUGGGGUAACGGCUCACCUAGGCGACGAUCCCUAGCUGGUCUGAGAGGAUGACCAGCCACACUGGAACUGAGACACGGUCCAGACUCCUACGGGAGGCAGCAGUGGGGAAUAUUGCACAAUGGGCGCAAGCCUGAUGCAGCCAUGCCGCGUGUAUGAAGAAGGCUUCGGGUUGUAAAGUACUUUCAGCGGGGAGGAAGGGAGUAAAGUUAAUACCUUUGCUCAUUGACGUUACCCGCAGAAGAAGCACCGGCUAACUCCGUGCCAGCAGCCGCGGUAAUACGGAGGGUGCAAGCGUUAAUCGGAAUUACUGGGCGUAAAGCGCACGCAGGCGGUUUGUUAAGUCAGAUGUGAAAUCCCCGGGCUCAACCUGGGAACUGCAUCUGAUACUGGCAAGCUUGAGUCUCGUAGAGGGGGGUAGAAUUCCAGGUGUAGCGGUGAAAUGCGUAGAGAUCUGGAGGAAUACCGGUGGCGAAGGCGGCCCCCUGGACGAAGACUGACGCUUAGGUGCGAAAGCUUG
rnacentral:rRNA from 1 species